UGUUCUGCAAGGUGAGAGCUGCAUCAGUAACAUGUUUUGCGGGCAUAACUUCCUCUGUAUUCUUCUCUCUUGCGAAGGAGAAACAGGAUUUCAUUCUUUCUGCUGCGAUUAAUGCAGCCAAACAAGACAAGGUGCCUUCAAUUAGAUCAGCUUCUUGUUGAGCCAUUGGUGUCAUUUCAUGUUUUCCUAAAGUUUUCCAGAGUGCAGAGAUCCUGAACAAAUUGAUUCACGCAGUGGAGAUUAAUACCCGCGACCCCUCAAUAUCAGUGCGAAUAACUGCUUCUUGGGCUUUGGCAAACAUAUGUGAUUCUAUCCGGCACUGUAUUGAUACUCUUGCUUUGGAAGGCUCCACAGACUAUACUGCAGUCUCUGAAUCAGUGGCAUUACUAACUGAUUAUACUGAAAUGACAGCACAUAACACCAAAAUGAAUCAUCUGAUAGUAUCAACCGUGAUAGUGCCCCUGUGCUUAAACUGAAAUGACAGCACA